CAGGAACUGAACUCACGUGUCUCACAUCUCCCGCAUUGACAGAAUCAAGGUGUCUGGAAACUGGAGUAUUUAUAAGAAGGUUAUCUGGGGACCAUAGAAUCAGAUUGAACUUGGAGAACUAGAUCACAGAAAACCCUAUAAAAUAAAUCUACACUCCAGUCCUCUAUCUCUGAUGACUUCAUUGAGCCUCACCAUCCCAUCUGCAGAAGGGGGCCUCAGACAUGACCAUCUCUAGAUCCUCAGAAGUAUUCCCUUGGGAAAAAGAAUCCAGACUUAAGUGCUCCUCCUGGUUCCAGGAAGGUAACUCAGAAAUCAUCACCCUUUGCCUUUUCCCACAGCGCCGUUAAACAGGGCUGGGCGAGAAAUGGCCGAGUCUGACAGGAGCCAGCGCAGGACAGAGAAAGGUCUCUCUUGACCACUCAUCCCUGACAGCGUGGUCAGUGUCCCAGGAAGGUCAAGGGGCCUCUCUCCAGACCUGAGGAUGAGUUAAGUUGCUGACAAGUGAAAAUGUUAUGGAACAGAAUGUCCUACACAAUUGAGAUUUACCUGUUAACACAGACACUGGACAUGCCAAGGAGGCCGAAGAAAGAGUUCUGUCUUCUGAACGGUGCCCACGGCCACCUUCAGCCCAACAGCACCGGCUGCCAACACGCUGUGUCUCUGGUUCCUUUCCCCUUUCUGAAAUUUUUGCAACCCCAUAAUUGCCUUGGUAGAACCUAGAUGUUCUGACUGAAAUGGUCUUCCCAAUAAUUCUAGCCUCUUUUAGUGAGAAAAUAUUCUACUGUACACAUAUUUGGGCUUCUCAGUCGGUAAAGAGUCCACUGCCAUACAUGAGACCCAGGUUCAGUCCCUGGGUUGGGAAGAU